UUAGCUGCCGAGCUUGCCUUCAGAGUACUACAGUGCAUCCAAAUGGAGACACCCUUCCAAACAUCCUGCAGGAAGGAACAGCUCUACAGCCUUGUGACCAGAACAGCAUGGCACCAAGGCAAAGAAGGAGGUGGCAGACUGUUUCCUCUGUCUGCUAACAAGCCAGCCCUGUCACUCCAGUUGUCUACUACAGAAACUGUCACACCACGUGCUGAGUCUUUAAAUGAAUUGGGAGAGAAAGACACACCCUUGGAGCUUCAGGGCUGCUCAUAUGGAUUAGUCUGAAGAUUAUGGGCUGCUGUGAUUGUCUGCCAGAAACAAAAAUGUGUCUUCAAAAUGUGAAAGGCUUGGCUAACAUCUGCAGAGCCCACUAAGCUGUGUAACUUUAUGACUCACACUACAGAAAAUGAGCUGUGUGAUUUGCACUUCUGGUUUGCCAGCUGGGACCCAGCCCAGAUCAUUUGUCUGCAUCAGGUGCUAUCAGCAGGUGUGUGCAGAAGCAGAGCGAGUACAGGAAGAGUAAAAUUUCCUGAAAAAUCUGAUGAACACCUGGAGGACUCGCUAAGAAUUGCAGCCAAUUCCAUUGAACCAGACCAACGCAUUAGUUUCACAAAAACAAGCCCAGGACAAUUCCUCUUCACUCAAAGCAGCCCAGACAAGCCUAAAUGUUGGACACACGUGUUAUUGAAUUUCUGCUUGCUUCUAUUGCAACUGGCAAGAUGGUGCUUGGAGAAUUUUCUGCUACUGAAAACAGACUUCUCUUCCUCUUGGCUGCCGUACAUCCUUGCACCACACCUGGGAGUGACGUUGAUCACAUUCCCGUCUCCUGGCUGUGGAUCUGAAUGUUCCACCGUGUUAUCAUAAUGUGGACACUCAACUCAAGUCCCUGAGGUGAUAUUCUCCCCUUUCUCUUGGACAUAAGCAACAUGCCGUCAUUGAACUCUAGCAUCCUUUCUGUGUUUCACCCUUUCCCAAUCUGUCAAAAGUGGUCUCUGCGGUCUUAUGGAGAAAAGAGGAAGAAAAAAAUGGAAACUGCUCGGGAAAGUAGUGAGUAAUUUCCUGAUUUAAUAAAUAAAACUUGCGAAUCCUGCUGCUAUUUUGUGCUGCUAUGCUUUGUUACUAUUUGUGAGUAGAAAAACUACAGUAUUUUUAGAAAGAAAUGAGGAACAAGGAUCCAAAUUUAGUUUUGCUUCCAGCAUUUUGUCUGUUUGUCAGAUGGAUGAGAACCUCCAGGGAGCUCUAGCUGGGCUACAUCAAUACAAGAGCACAUUGUUUCUUAGGGCCAAGAAGGACCUUGUAGCCCUUCAGAUUCCCACACAUUUUACUAGCACAACAAAUGUGUACAAUUUACCAGAGGCAUGAAGCUACCUUUGAGUUAGGAUAGGAAACUAACUGGAAAGCGGCCCUCAGUACUGCC
rnacentral:lncRNA from 1 species